UACGUAGGGUGCAAGCGUUGUCCGGAAUUAUUGGGCGUAAAGAGCUCGUAGGCGGUUUGUCGCGUCUGCUGUGAAAACCCGAGGCUCAACCUCGGGCCUGCAGUGGGUACGGGCAGACUAGAGUGCGGUAGGGGAGAUUGGAACUCCUGGUGCGGCGGUGGAAUGCGCAGAUAUCAGGAGGAACACCGGUGGCGAAGGCGGAUCUCUGGGCCGAUACUGACGCUGAGGAGCGAAAGCGUGGGGAGCGAACAGG
rnacentral:rRNA from 1 species